GCGCCCGUAGCUCAGAAGGAUAGAGCACCGGUUUCCUAAACCGGGGGUCGACGGUUCGAAUCCGCCCGGGCGUA
rnacentral:tRNA from 1 species